rnacentral:lncRNA from 1 species
CAGGGACACUGCAAGAACCAGGCUCACAGAAUCAACUGACUGGGACCCAGGGGGCCUCUCAGAAAUCAGGGAGCCUGUAGGAGUCUGACCUAGAGGCUAGGUAGCUUGGUGUCCUUGUGGGAUUCCUAGGUAGCUUGGAUUCCUUGUGGGAACGACAGCUGUCUCUGACUCUUGCCUGCUUAUGAGCCCUCCUCUAACUGGGCUGCCUGGUGCUGUCUUGAUAUGGAAAAAAAGGAAGAGUGGUGACCACUCUGCCCUAGGAUCACAGCACCCUACAGAGACCGUUUCUCUGAAACCCAGAUAAACUAGAGUCCUUUAUGAAGCCUGCUGAGAAGACCAAAGGAGAAAGGCAUUCCACUCGUUAAAUGUUUAUUAUUUGAGCUUAGCAGCCAACUAUAAUAAUGGAGAGAGGAAGCUGUCUGUAAGCUGUGUACAAAUUUAGCUACUUAAAUUCCAUUAAUGUAAAAUAGAACACUGAGGUUAAACCCUUUUACUAGGCAGUAGCCCGAGGGCGUGGCGGUUGGUAGUAAAAGCUGGGGGGCCGCUGAUACCUGGGCCUGUGAUUUGAAAGCAAUUCAAGUCAAGAAAAUGGUAACUCACACUGGGAAAGUUUGCUUCCUUUUCCUCAACAAAUCAGUUCACUC